rnacentral:rRNA from 1 species
AUUGAACGCUGGCGGCAGGCCUAACACAUGCAAGUCGAGCGCGCGGCGGACGGGUGUGUAAUGUAUGGGGACUGCCCGAUAGAGGGGGAUAACUACUGGAAACGGUGGCUAAUACCGCAUACUAUCGGAUAACCCAUAUGGGAUUAGCUAGUAGGUAAGGUACUGGCUUACCGAGGCGACGCUCCCUAGCUGGUCUGUGAGGUUGAUCAGCGACACUGGGACUGAGACACGGCCCAGACUCCUACGGAGGCAGCAGUGGGGAAUAUGGCACAAGGGGCGCAAGCCUGAUGCAGCCAUGCCGCGUGUAUGAAGAAGGCCCUAGGGUUGGAAAGGACUUUCAGUCGGGAGGCGUUACCGACAGAAGAAGCACCGGCUAACUCCGUGCCAGCAGCCGCGGUAAUUC